AGAAAGAGUUGGAGCUGACAGUUUUAUUAUAAAUGGCUCUGAUGUGAUGGCUAAAGUUAAUUUUCAGAUGUUCUGUUUUUACCUCAAGGGACUAACUAUACCUUGUUAGUUUAUGUUUAACUUGAAAACAGUAAAAAUAUGAAAAACAAAUAAACCCCAGCAAUAUGUAUGCUACCAAAGAGAUGAAUUUUUAAAUUAUUUCUCUUCUAUUACUAUGAGAUUUAACCAAUAUUAAUAGUGACUUCUGCUCAUGUUAAUAAGUAGAUGUUUGAGGAUCUGUUCAUUUAUUGGUUCAAAUAUUGGCUUACCUUUUGUGUAUCAGGCACCAGAAUAAUCAGUCUGCAACACAUCAUUAUCUUCAUAACCAAAAUUUACUGUGGAAAUAGACAAAUUAUUUUGUGGAAUUACUGUUGAUACCACAACAUCUUUGAGACAAGUUCUUUAAAGUGCCAUGUGAUAGGCAAUUGUAUGGCUCUUUCAACAAAUGAAGUCUGCUAGGUUUUACUUUUGUUGGACAAAAAGCAUUAGAAAACUGAUGGUAAUAAUUAGAAUUUCUAAUAUAAUUUGCAAACUCUAAACCUUUUGUUUUUAAGGCACAGACUUCCAAGUCAGAAUUUUUGAUGAUGUUCUUGAAGAAAAUAAAAGGUAAUUGGAGAAGAUUAGAAAGAAAACCUAAAACCCGAAGGGUAAUAAAAAGCAACUGUCUGCAAAGUCCUUGUCAUUUCAGAACCUUGUCAGCUCCCUUCACUGAGGCUCUGUUCAGGAGUGAGUCACACGUCUCCAUGUCCCUUACUGCAAAGGUGUUUGCUUAUCAGUGGAAUGACUGAUAUUGUCAAUGGAGUGGUUGCUUUUUAUGAUGGUGGGAGGGCAGAACAUUAUAAGGCCACCUCUGGAUGGGUUUCAUUCUUUAGUAGCUAUCUGAUAUAAAGGAAAGAAUAGGAACUCUGGAGGGGGACAGGGCUUCACUAUUUGAAUCUUGACUCCACUUCUUAUUAACUGUCUGACUUUGAAAAAUUUAUUUAUCAUUGUUUUAUUCACUUGUAAAAUAGAGAUAAUACCAUCUACUUUGUGUGGUCAUUUUGAAGAUUAAAUGAAAUGAGAGAUAUAAAGUGCCUAGGAAAGUGCUCGAGAGUUAGUAGGCGUUCAGAAUUGUGUUACUUCCACUUUUUUAUAGAACUGAUAUUGGUGAUUACACAUAUUCAAUAUUAAUCAAAUCAAAUGUUGAUAGGUCUUUUGUAGGUGAGGCUGAAAACUUUGAAUUUUCAAGGGCACAAGGAUUAUAUAUCCCCAUUAUGAAAUGAUCACUGAAUGAAAAGUUGGAGAAUAAUGAGUUUUAGGCAUAUGAGAAAAGAACACCCAAAAGAGAAAACUAUAAAUGUCUUUUAAUUUCAAGAACCUUUCUGUGGUAGAUAGAAUAAUGAAUUCCCAAAUGUGACCACAUCAUAAUACAAGGACUCUGUGACUAUGUUACCCUACAUGGCAGAAGGAACUUUGCAGAUGGGAUUAAGUUAAAAUUCUAGAGAUGGAGGGAUUAUCCUGGAUUAUAUGAAUGGGCCAUCCAAUCACAUGGAUCCUUAGAAUCAGAGAAUUUUUCAGAUUGUGAUCAGAGUAAGAGAUAUAGAAAUGGGUAGGAAAUAGCAGAAAGGGAGCAGAAGAUGGAGG
rnacentral:lncRNA from 12 species